AUUAGUCUUUUAAUUGGAGACUGGUAUGAAUGGCUAAACGAGAGAUUGACUUUUUUUGUUAUAAAGAUUGAAUUUAAUUUUUUAGUGAAAAAGCUAAAAUUUUUCAGAAAGACGAGAAGACCCUAUAGAGUUUCAUACCUCAAAAUACUUUUUUUAAGUGGAUGUUUCAAACAAAGUAUUGUCGGGUAUUUUGUUGGGGCGACAUUAAGAUAAAUAAAACUCUUUUUUUUUUAAAUUUUCAUAGAAAUAUAUUUAUGAUCCUUUAAAAAAGAUCAAAAGAAAAAAUUACCUUAGGGAUAACAGCGUAAUCUUUUUUGAGAGUUCUAAUCGACAAAAAGGUUUGCGACCUCGAUGUUGGACUAAAAUUUAGGCAAGGUGCAGCAGUUUUGCUUUAAGGUCUGUUCGACCUAUAAUAUUUUACACGAUCUGAGUUCAGACCGGCGUGAG
rnacentral:rRNA from 1 species